GUGUCAGCAGCCGCGGUAAUACGUAGGGGGCAAGCGUUGUUCGGAAUUACUGGGCGUAAAGGGCGCGUAGGCGGCACAGCAAGUCGGGAGUGAAAGCCCGGGGCUCAACCCCGGAACGGCUUUCGAAACUGCUGAGCUAGAGUGCGGAAGGGGCAACCGGAAUUCCCAGUGUAGCGGUGAAAUGCGUAGAUAUUGGGAAGAACACCUGAGGCGAAGGCGGGUUGCUGGGCCGACACUGACGCUGAGGCGCGAAAGCCAGGGGAGCAAACGGGAUUAGAUACCCCUGUAGUCC
rnacentral:rRNA from 1 species